UAUCAAUUUUAUUCAGAAAAUUACAUUAUUUAUCAUGACUACAAUUAAUAUAUUUUUCUGGUAUCAUUAUUCCUCCUAAUGAAGUUUGAUUAUGAGUUUACCUGGGCUUAGACAGUACCAACAGCCUGUCUUAUGCAACAAUAAAAGUGAAAAAUGAAGUCAUAAUUCAGCAUUAUAUUUAUAUCAUAAAAUUAUCAUUUGUUUUGUAGAUGCCCAGGAAACAGAAAGUUUUCAUCGGCAGUUGUGGGAAGGGCUUCUCAAGGAGCCUACUAUUAAGUUCAAUAUUUCCAUCUUGAUUCUAGAGAUGAGCCCACAGAUACCCUAUGCCCGGAAGAAGCCACAAAUGUCCAUUUGGAAAAUGUCCGAAUGUAGCUUUCUUUGGACUCUGUUCUUGUAUGGAGGCUAUCGAUUAAAUCCUAGAUGUUU